UGGUAAUGUUUUAUAAAGCACAUAAUUUUAGUUAUAUGUUAUGUGAUUACACAACAACGUACCUACAAGUCUGAGUGCAUUGGUAGUUCUUGCUAAUUCUCUAACAACAUGUAUGUCCGGUGGUAUUCACGCGGGUUCGUUAACGUUCGUGGUUUUCUUUUGUCUUGAGUCUUUGGCUAUGUCGAGAAUAAGGAAUAAGCACCCCCAAGAUUUGAACUCUAGUUGCGCCACUGAUGGCGGCGACAAUUCAGACAUACAGAGAAGACCGUCAACAACUCCAUGUAGCACAAUAAUAGUGUAAAUAAUCACAACACAAGUUUUUGACAGCAUAUUGAUGUGUAUCCAACACGGCACAUGAUUUUAGGCAUGAUAAAUUAUUGUUGUGGGUACAAAAAUAAAUAAAGUUGAUCAUUAGAGUUUUAAAAAAGAGAUUGUUAGAGUCAUGAUUUUAUUUCGGUUGUUAUUUUUAGCAUUAUUAUAGUACCAUUAUAGGAAAAUAAUAAUUGAGCCUAAAAAUGCAUUUAUUUAUAAUUAAAUAAUUAAUGUAUAUUUUCCCUCAUUAAAAUAUGUUGUUGUUUAGGAUUUUUUUUUGAUAGAUUUUAGUUUUAUGUAUUUCCUGAUUUAUCAGUUAUCAACUAAUAUUUUAAUUCACCCUUUGUAUCUA